rnacentral:rRNA from 1 species
GUGAGGAAUAUUGGUCAAUGGGCGAGAGCCUGAACCAGCCAAGUAGCGUGAAGGAAGACUGCCCUACGGGUUGUAAACUUCUUUUGUACGGGAAUAAAGUUGGCCACGUGUGGCUUUUUGCAUGUACCGUACGAAUAAGGACCGGCUAAUUCCGUGCCAGCAGCCGCGGUAAUACGGAAGGUCCGAGCGUUAUCCGGAUUUAUUGGGUUUAAAGGGAGCGCAGGCGGAAUGUUAAGUCAGCUGUGAAAUCCCGUCGCUCAACGGCGGAACUGCAGUUGAUACUGGCUUUCUUGAGUGCACAUAAGGAUGGUGGAAUUCGUGGUGUAGCGGUGAAAUGCUUAGAUAUCACGAAGAACUCCGAUUGCGAAGGCAGCCAUCUGGGGUGCAACUGACGCUGAGGCUCGAAAGUGCGGGUAUCAAACAGG